UACGUAGGGUGCGAGCGUUGCCCGGAUUUAUUGGGCGUAAAGGGCGCGUUAGGCGGUGAGAUGCGUCCGUUGUGAAAUCGCCCGGCUCAACUGGGCGGGGUCAGCGGAUACGGUCUCACGUUGAGCAAGCUAGGGGGCAAUGGAAUUCCCGGUGUAGUGGUGGAAUGCGUAGAUAUCGGGAGGAACACCAGUGGCGAAGGCGGUUGCCUGGGGCUUUGCUGACGCUGAUGCGCGAAAGCGUGGGGAGCGAUCCGG
rnacentral:rRNA from 1 species